GGAAUAUUGCACAAUGGGGGAAACCCUGAUGCAGCCAUGCCGCGUGUGUGAAGAAGGCCUUCGGGUUGUAAAGCACUUUCAGUGGGGAGGAAAGGCGUACCGCGAAUACCGGUGCGCUGUGACGUUACCCACAGAAGAAGCACCGGCUACCUCCGUGCCAGCCGCCGCGGUAAUACGGAGGGUGCAAGCGUUAAUCGGAAUGACUGGGCGUAAAGCGCACGCAGGCGGUCUGCUAAGCCAGAUGUGAAAGCCCCGGGCUCAACCUGGGAACUGCAUUUGGAACUGGCAGGCUAGAGUCUUGGAGAGGGGGGUAGAAUUUCCGGUGUAGCGGUGAAAUGCGUAGAGAUCGGAAGGAAUACCAGUGGCGAAGGCGGCCCCCUGGCCAAAGACUGACGCUCAGGUGCGAAAGCGUGGGGAGCAAAC
rnacentral:rRNA from 1 species